rnacentral:rRNA from 1 species
AACCUUCGCAAUGCGCGCAAGCGCGACGAGGUUAUUCCGAGUGAUUUCCGCUGAGGAAAUCUUUUCUCAGAUCUAAAAUGUCUGGGGAAUAAGGGGAGGGCAAGUCUGGUGUCAGCCGCCGCGGUAAUACCAGCUCCUCGAGUGGUCAGGGCGUUUAUUGGGCCUAAAGCAUCCGUAGCCGGCUCAGUAGGUCUCCUGUUAAAUCCAACGGCUCAACUGUUGGUCUGCAGGAGAUACCACUGGGCUAGGAGGCGGGAGAGGCGGACGGUACUCCGAGGGUAGGGGUAAAAUCCUUUGAUCCCCGGAAGACCACCAGUGGCGAAGGCGGUCCGCCAGAACGCGCUCGACGGUGAGGGAUGAAAGCUGGGGGAGCGAACCAGAUUAGAUACGCGGGUAGUCCCAGCUGUAAACGAUGCGAGCUAGAUGACACAAUGCCUUCGGGGCCUUGUGGUGCAAUAACCUCGCCGCUCUCGUCGCCAUUGGGAAAGUACCGCGCCUGCUGUACCCCGU